rnacentral:piRNA from 1 species
UUUGAUUGCAUUCCAAAAUUA